rnacentral:lncRNA from 1 species
GGGUUAGUUGCUUCUAAGCCAGCUAUCUCGAUGAGAGUUUGAAGAUCUACAUUGAAAUCUUUUACCUAAGAAACUUAGUCCUUACCCAUAAACCCAGGAGAAGAGGGGGAGCACGCAUCAGAGCUAGUAAAUAUAGAAAAAGUCAAACAUUCCUCAUCAAGGCCUCGGAAGAAACCAAAGAAACCAAAAAAACACCAAGGGAGAAAAUGUCCACUGAAACACGUGCCUGCCUGGGUGUGAGGAUAUCCUAUGACAGUCACUGUCGCUCAGGCAGGGAUCUCAUCAAAUAACCAGGAACUAUCAACCAUUGGAGAAGAGAAGAGACUGGGAGUUACCCCAUGCCCAGACAAACUUUUCAUCUAUUCUUCUGAGGGUAACCCCAGGAGAUUACCUGGGGGACUUUUUUUUGCAUAAUAAGACAACCUUUGUUCCUGUGCAGCUCCACAUCUUUUCUUCCUAUAAAGUCUGCCUCCAACAUCGUGGGUCCAUUCAAUUCUCCCUAAUGAAAGCAUUGCCUACAGUCUCCAUCUCCUCUCUUCCCCGUAAAGCUUCUGUGCCACACUGGGUUGGUGGGCAAUCCCCCUGUGAUCCACUACUCCCCUGCCCACAUCCCAACCCCACCAUACACGUUAAUAAAUGUGUGUACCUUUUCUCCUGUUAUUCUGC